UACGGAGGAGGCAAGCGUUAUCCGGAAUUAUUGGGCGUAAAGCGUCCGCAGGUGGCGAUUCAAGUCUGCGGUCAAAGACUGGGGCUUAACCCUGGAAAGGCCGUGGAAACUGAAUAGCUAGAGUGCAGUAGGGGUAGAGGGAAUUCCCGGUGUAGCGGUGAAAUGCGUAGAGCUCGGGAAGAACAUCGGUGGCGAAAGCGGCAUCCUGGACCGGUAUUGACGCUGAGGCGCGAAAGCUAGGGGAGCAAACGGG
rnacentral:rRNA from 1 species